UUCAACUGAGAAAAAAUCUAUUUUGUGGCUAAGCAUAAUAUAAGGCCACUCCAAAUGAGACUGUAGUUUCCCGUCAGAGACUCCAGUAAAUUAUAAGCGGAUAUGUGAGCAGUAUUAUCAUUCAUUACUAUGAAUAUCAUUAUAAAUUGAUAACGUCAUCAAUGAAUUUAAUUAAGUAGCCACAACAAUUCAGCCAACCAUGUGCUUGGAGGCAACAAAGAACAAUAAAAAAGUAAUUUCAAUAUUUCAUUGGAUAAUUAGAGAAAUAUAAUGGCCAUAAUGACUAUCAAUGAGGUAGCUAAAGCAAGAAGCGCGAGUUGGACAGGAAACUACAGUCUCAUUUGGAGUGGUCUAAGCAACCACAUGUCGCGCAUGCACAGAUUCAAUUGCAUUAUGGUUUCCAAGCAGGUAUAUUGACCUCAGAACCUUGAUAGGACAGCCCCUCAGGAUGUUGAAUAUUGAUCUGUCUCCAGGCACUCCGAGGGGUGCAGUUCAUCAGCCUUGCCCAACACUAGGUACUGGAUCUCAUGCAGAUAAGCUCUGGAUGAGGAUAUAAAAACCAUAUGCAUUACUGCAUAACAAUAAGGAGGGUAAACUGCAUUGUUGUUACAAAAUUAUACUUUCUGUAAGCAUAAUAGCUAGAUAUGCAUUGUCAUUGUAAGCACACCUGUGGCUCUGAUCCUGCCUAUCUGGUUACCAGCCUCAGGACAAGUCAGUGAUCUCCUGGCUAUAGAUCUUGGACCAUCCCUAACUGCAUGGAGACAAUGUGGCUGGACUCAGUGCACAUGUCCAUGCAGGAAUGUGUUACUAAGUAAAUAUCAUUCAUUAGUAGAUGAUAUCUCCUUGUGCAAGGUUUCUACAAGAGAAUGUUAUUGACCUUUACCUAGAGAGUCCACAAGACAUUGGAACAUUGUUGGAAACUAGCCUAUAAAUGUGUGAUUAUAGUCACUUGAUGUUCAGUUCUCUCAUCUUAUCAUGUAGUUAGCAUAAUAGGCUGAAUUUGGGGCAGUCCUCAAAAGCAUAAUAGGCAGAAAAAAGAGCAAUUGCCAGGGCCUACUGAGUGUGCGUUCAGAGCUCAAGAGGAAGAGAAGUUUUAAGUCAUUAAAAAACAAACUUCAAAACGUUGGGCAUUAAGUUGAAAGUCAAUUUCCAGCCACUCUAAAGCUGUUGUGAUGCUACUGUUUAGAGCUCUAAAGGAGAGCAGAAGUAAUCAAGUCAUUAGCACAAAAGAAAAACAUUUGCAAUGUGAAAAAUUGCUAGGAUUGCCCCAAGGGAAACCUUUAAAAAGCGUGGAAACAAGAAAUUCGUUUUGAGCAAAGACAGUGCCAAGUAAAGAGCCAAGUAAAGACAAAGAUCUAGAGGAAAGACAGUCCCAAUAGAAAGAGCAAAGACAGUCCAGACCAGUCAUUGAUGCAUGAAGUAUGAUACUGAUAUUCAUGACAGAACAAUAGCCUCAGGGCUAAUAGCUAAUUAUAAUGGGCUAUACUUUUCAACAAAGAGCUAAAAGGGACACACUGUGACAGUGCAUGUGUAUACUGUCAGUGUAUAGACAAUUAUUUACCCUACAAUUAACUAUUAUUUCAUAUACUAGAUGUGAUAGCCAAAGACUGUUCAAUUUGCCACAACCUGUAUUUAAUGAUCCUAUAGUUGAAAGAUCGUUAAUCUGUCACUGCACUAUUGUGAUAC